CCUGGGCUCUGCCUGCCUGAUAAUUGAACAGUCUCAGACCUCAAGCUCCCUCUCUGUACCCAGUGCUGUUACUUAAACAACAACAACAACAACAACAAAACUUCUCAUUUAUCUUUCCAGGAUCCUAGAAACAAGAAAAUGCAGAAGAAGCCUGAUCUAUAUCCAGCCUGUUCCUUGAGAAGACAGAGUUCAGGAAAUGCUUCCCACAACACCCUCCAUAAAAGCUGACCAAAACAACUCAUUUAACCAACAAGGCCAGAGCGCAAGCAAUGAAACCAGAGAGAACAGCAAGUCUGGUUUAACAAUCUUCCCAAAGGAACAAAGAGGAAAGGCAAUUUGUGCAUUGGGAAUUAAAACUGACGAAAAUGAUUCUGUUUUGGAUUAUCCUGGAUUGUAAGAAUCAAGGACGAAAGCCCCCACCCACCGAAAUGGCUGGUGUGAAAAAGACUAGCCACACCCUGUGUUGGUGAUGAUAUGUCACAAUUAGACACGCGGGCCUCAUCAGGGGGAGUGUAAACCGGUCCAACCAUUUUGGAAACCUGUUUGCAUCUACUUAGAGGUACGUAUAUGCCGCCCCGACCCAGAAAACGCACUCACAGAUCUGUACCCAAGGGAAAUCGGUGCCCGCACCACGCCAAGACAAUGUGCUAGAAUGUUCACUGCAGCUUAGAUCCCAAGAGGCAGAUGCUGGAAACCACACAGGGGUCGGUCAGCAGUGGGACAGGUAAGUGGCAUGGGAUUCAUACGGCGGAAUGCUGCACAACGAUGAAAAAGCACAUAAACUACGCUCCGGUGUGACGGCAUGGAAAAUCUCACAGAUGGAAUGAGUGAACGAAGCAAGACAAACACACAGGGCACAUCUCGUAUGGUUCCUUUCGUGUGAAGUUCAAGAACCGUUGGAAUUAAUACUCAGGGACAGAGGUCAGAGCAGCGGUGAUCUGAACAGGGGGGGUUGAAUAUGGAUUGUCGGGGACCAUGGGGGAACCUCCUAAGGUGCUGGAAAUGUGCCAUGUAAUCUGGGUCAUGUACCCAGAUAUAUACCUAUGGACAAACUCAUCAGCCUUUACACUUAUAAUUUGCUCAUUGAGUGUAUGUUAUACCUCAAUUUAAAAAACAAAAACAAAAAACGAAAAAAAAACCCUUGUAGAGGAAGGUGACACCCAUCUUUGUCUUUGUUCUUAUCCCAGGGGCUCAUUGAGCAGCGAAAACACUGUUCCCACAGUUGGAUAAUUCAGUUCCUUAGAAGAUGAUGAUGGACAGCUCACCGUGUGAGAUAAAAACCAUGGCCAAGCAGGCUGCCCCCGCCACCAGGUUUGACAGGGCCAACGGGCGGAUGAGGCCGCAGCGGUCAACGGUGACGAGGAUGAUGAAGGCCGCCGGGAAUUCAACCAGAGCCGAGUACAAGAAAUCCAGCAAAUGGAAUAAGGUCUUCCGGGAACACUCAGGCAAGUCCCAUCCCACCCAAACAUGGAGACUCGGGCAAAGCGACCUCUCCCUUGUUCCACCCUGACGAGGGGACAGCCGUCCUGACCACGGACGUACAGGCGUAGAGGCCAGCCUUCGUUUAGGGAGACUGGGUGUACUUCCGUGCCACCACAGGAAGUAUACCUGGUGGGCUUCCUGGCCCCGGAAGAGCACUCGGCAAAGAUGAGCAGUAAUUGGCAUCGGCGUCUCCCCAAGGUCAAGUACGCAGAGAGAGCAGAGCAGAUACUGGCCAAGUCUCUCCAGCUGCACAGUGGCGUGGUCCCCCUGUCUUCCGCCCUGUAGCCCACCCCACGACCCAUCCAUGCGUCGUCCAGGGGAGAAUAGCAGUGUCACAGAACAAGGCACCUAGACCGAUGGGGACCGGCUAAGUGGCUCAGAGAGACUUCGGAGAGUUCCACGUGUCCUUUUAGGUGACAUUGUGUGAUUUCGGAGGCUGGACACAUUUUAUGACACGGUGAGAAGAGACCUCGGCUGACGAUAAACUGCUCUUAUCCCGGCAUCUGGAUUGCCCGUCAGCUCCAAAGCCGAGAUCGCGACUGAUGUGUCCCAUUAACAUACCCCCUCGUUUUCUACAGCUGCACGCAGAGAACCACUGGGACGCUCUUAUUUCCAGCCCUGCCUCACUCCCGAUUGGAGAAAAGGGUGAAGGCAACGUGAAGGAAGGCGCUCGCCUGUAGCUUGGUGAGUCCAGAUAAGCCCAGGGGCCCCCUCCGUGCCAGCUAGCCAGUUAAACGGGAACAGUCACAUAUUACUGACAAAGACGUUGAUUUAAGAGAAAGGAAUGGAGAGCCUGGACUUUCCGGUCCCCAAACGGUUCACAAAUGUGCAGGGCUGCCAUCUUUUGGCAGAACCCAUGAACUGCGUGUGCGUGUUAGAAUGGCACGUCCUGGUACUGAGGGGGUCCCGCGUCUACAUCGGACACCGUUCUAAGCUGUUCACACACGUCAUCUCGUGAAUCUGCCAACGCGCCUGUGAGGUGAGUCCUAUCCUGGCCCCACGUGCUGAUGAGGAGGCUGAGUCACGGAUAGCGAGGCCUUCUGGAGUCACACAGCCGGAGUUUCUGCACUGAAGGAGCAGGUGGAGGGAAGGUGUCCGGGGUCAGUGCCUUGGAGGCCAGGGAAGGGAUCUGGUUUUCUCCUCAGUGGACUAGGGAGGCGUGGACAGGGGAGCGACCUGGUCUUUGCCUGCUUUGUGAGCAGCGCCUGGCGGGGGACGGCGGUGGGAGCAGACAGGACAGCUAGGAGGUACCACAGCAGCACAGGCAAGAGAUCACGACCGUCGGGAGGGGAACUGAGAGGGCAGGUGAUGUGAAAUGGCAGAUUCUGAACACAUUUGCAAAAUAGAGCAGAAUUUGCUGAGGGCUUGGGUGCAGGGGUGUGAGAGCAGAGGAGCCGAAGCGCCCCCCCCUUAAGAGGAGUGCGCUAGGGGAUGGAAACGGGGGCGGCGAGUGGUAAGGGGAAGAAGGAAGGAGGGAGACAGGAGGGCACAGGCAGCAGGGGUGUUUGCAAAGGCUCCCGGGACCCAUCGUGGGGCUGGCUGCCGAACUCGGGGACCAACACGGAGGUGUGGCAGGUGACUGAUGCAACGGGAAUGAGCCUGAAUGGUGUCUAAUGCAUUUAGGAGGGAUUCCGUGGAACGGUGGUUGUUCAUUCAGCCUUCAGCAAAUAUUUGUGGGGCUACCAUGUGCCAGGCACCACCCUAUUACUUUGAACCCUUAGUUCUCGUAAAACCUUAUGUGGAAGCGGAAAUGAGUUAACCAGCAGCAGGGGAAGCCCACAGUCCAGCUGUUCAGCCCCAGGUGUUAGAGAAGCAUGUCAACGACAAAGGCCCGGUAGUGGGGAGCCGACCCGAUGUCCUUUGAGGGAAGGGGGUAGAGAACUGCAAGAUGGCAACCUGGAGGGGGGUACAGACCCUGGGGGUGGGCAGGGGGUACAUGGGUGAGUCCAUCGGUGUCCAAGAGUUCCGUAAUCAGUGGAUCAUAAAGACACAGAAACGCUCAGGGCAGGGUCUCUGAAGUCCUAAGGUGUGAGGAAGGGAUCGUCCCCUUUGGAAGCACCAGGAGCCACUGAAAUCACCUUCCGAAGUGAAAUCAAGACUCUUCUGUUCCCAGAAGAUGGACACGUGGGGUUUGAGGCAACCGUGGGAACCCUUCAUCAUGUCUCACUCGUCUUACUGUUAACCUCGCCGACGUAACAUGCUCUUCUUACUAAAAGGA